AACCUCAUAACAUCAUAACAUCAUAACAUCAUGACAUCAUAACAUUGAACUAACCAUUUCAAGGACUUAGGGAUUUAACUUUGCUCUAUUUUGUAUGAAAAAAAAACAAAACAAAAAACAAAACAAAAAAACAAAAAAAAAAGUUUCCCUUUUCGGUAGUUUAUGCAAAGUUAAAUUCCAAAAGGCCUUGAAAACAUUUCAUGCAUUGCAUAGCAUAACAUAGCACAACAGGUACUCUAAAGGGAUCAGUGUUCUCACGGUUUUCCUCCACACAGAAAAAUGGACCUCGAACAAAUUGUCAGAGAUCUCCAGGCUCAGAAUGCUCAACUCCAGAAGAUGAUCUUGAAAUUAUCCAGGGGGCAGGAGGAACUGAAGGCUCUUUUGCUCGAGAAAAAGAAAGACCAGAAACUUGUGAGGCACGUUAACCCGGGAAGGAGGCAGUUUACGAAGAUCAAUAUGACUUUAGCACAGGCACUGCAGGGUAUGCUAAAAGCAAAUUUAAUUACCCUCAGAGAUCCUCCUGCAAAACCCAACACUACUUCUCCUCGUUAUAAUCCCAAUGCCAGGUGUGCAUAUCACUCCGAUAGCCCCGGGCAUGAUACAAACAAUUGUUG
rnacentral:lncRNA from 1 species